GUCGUGAGAUGUUGGGUUAAGUCCCGCAACGAGCGCAACCCUCAUCUUCAGUUGCCAUCGGUUCGGCCGGGCACUCUGGAGAAACUGCCGGUGACAAGCCGGAGGAAGGCGGGGAUGACGUCAAGUCCUCAUGGCCCUUACGGGCUGGGCUACACACGUGCUACAAUGGCGGUGACAGCGGGGAGCGAUGGGGUGACCCGGAGCCAAUCCCGAAAAGCCGUCUCAGUUCGGAUUGCACUCUGCAACUCGAGUGCAUGAAGUUGGAAUCGCUAGUAAUCGCGGAUCAGCAUGCCGCGGUGAAUACGUUCCCGGGCCUUGUACACACCGCCCGUCACACCAUGGGAGUUGGUUUUACCCGAAGCCGGUGCGCUAACCCGCGAGGGAGGCAGCCGACCACGGUAAGGUCAGCGACUGGGGUGAAGUCGUAACAAGGUAGCCGUAGGGGAACCUGCGGCUGGAUCACCUCCUUUCUAAGGAUGCGGGAUGAUGGUUUUCCAUGGUCCUGCGUUUUAGACAAAGCGGCUUUUGCCUUGGCCGCCGCCUGCGCAUCCCUUCUUUUUCCGGAAACCAGAAGACAGAAGGCCAGAAGCCAGAAAAGCGGGCUUUCGGUUGAGGUCUUUUGGCUUCGACCGGGCUAGUAGCUCAGUCGGUUAGAGCGCGCGCUUGAUAAGCGUGAGGUCGGAGGUUCAAGUCCUCCCUGGCCCACCAGAAGUCAGGAGUCAGAAACCAGAAGCCAGAGGACCUUUUCUGGUUUCUGGCUUCUGAUUUCUGGCUUCUGAACGGGGCUGUAGCUCAGUUGGGAGAGCGCCUGCUUUGCAAGCAGGAGGUCAUCGGUUCGAUCCCGUUCAGCUCCACCAGGGGCUGGCGGCGGUUUUCGGAAGGGAAACUGGUUUGGGACAGGAGUUUGGCCUGGAGCGUUCUGGCUUCUGGCCUUCUGGCUUCUGUCCCCUGAUCUUUGACAUUGUGGAUAGGUUUGUGUGGCCGGCCCGAGGCGGGGUCUUUGGCGGGGGAUCUCCCCCGCGCGUUAUCGCUUUGGGCUGGCAGAGAAGAAGUGCUGAGUAUGCCGUUUCGUCUGGACGAGCAUGGAGGCCGGUUGGCCUCUGCGUUGUGAGCUUGGCGAGCGGAUCAAGCGUCUAAGGGCAUUUGGUGAAUGCCUUGGCACUGAGAGGCGAUGAAGGACGUAGCACGCUGCGAUAAGCCGCGGGGAGGGGCGAGCGCCCGUUGAUCCGUGGAUUU
rnacentral:sRNA from 1 species